CACAUCACGAAAGUGGAUUGUACUAGAAGUCUGCGCGCUGACCCGCAAGGGAGGCAGCGGCCCAAGGUAUGACUCAUGAUUGGGGUG
rnacentral:rRNA from 1 species